GUCAGAAUGGUAGCCUUACACUCUCUUUCCCUGUUUACCUGGCACAGCCGCAGCUCCCAGGUCCCUGGGCUGGCAGUGUCCUCCCCUGAGUACCACACUGCAGACCAGCCAGCUCUGAGUCAGGACAGGAGGCACAGCCCAGGGUCACUGCUGUGACAUGAGAGCCUUCGCCUGCUCCUCCAGCUCCUGGCUCCAGGACCCAUGGCUGGGGCUGAACAAGAAACACUCACCCCCCUGCCCAAGCCGGACCAGGCUGUGUCACUCCCAAGCUGUGGACGCCAGGGCCAGCAUGGCAUGGGGAUGGUCGUGCUCCUUGCUGCACCUGUGCUCAGAAAUGGGUUCCUUGGUUGCAGGGGCUGGGCAGGCUUCCCUGAACAGGUCUAGCGGUUCACUGGGCCCAUGACACAUGCAAAUCCAGAAGAGCGUCUAUUCCUGGUGAGGAAAACUGCUGCUCAUGCCAUGGUGGAGGGGCCCAAAGUAAUCAACCUGCCACUGCACGGCUGCUUGGUUCCCGUGAGGCACAGUACCACGGCCGGGAUGUGAGACAGAUGCACUCAGCCUCGGGAACCCUGCAAAAUCAGACAGGAAACACCCAUGCGAGUGGUCCCGCUAACUCUGAACUUGGGGCAGCAUGUGAUGGAGAGCACCUGAGAACUCAAGCUAAGCGAAAGAAAGGGGCAAAGGAUGUUGUCAGGGGGACGUUGAACUUAAGAAAACAAAUGAGUGCCUCGCUGUGCGUCGUGCGCCUUCCUAGCCCUUCUCUGGGCUCCGAGUGGCUUGCUCUUGGUCGGCUCAGCAGCGAAGCGGUGAUUACGACAGUUCUUUGGACGCUCUUCAGGGAUGGCCUCUGCUUCCUGUUUGGGGAAUCCCAGCCGUCGGGAUUCAAGUGGGCUCCGAACUUCAAAAUUGAUGCCUGGAGAGCUCUGGCGACAGACUUGAUCCCCUCCAUAGGGCACCAGACACAGACGGGGGGUUUGGAAGCUGCCCUGUCCUCUUUCUGCCUCAGCUGGGCUCCUGCAACACUCCUGAGGGUGCGGGGUGAGGACCCGAGGCCCUGCAGAGGGGAGGUCAAGCUUGCAGAACACUGAGUCAGGAGUCUGAACAGGCGAGUCCCUGCCCCUCCCCGACUGUCAGGUUUACAGCCUGAUGAUUCUCGUGUCCCGCAGCUGCCGCUCCCUGUCCCGGCCUGGCUGGCCAGGUGUGACGAAUCCGCCCUGCCUUGAGACACCGACCUGGCUCGUUGGUACCACUAGAGCUAGUCUGGGCUCCUGGCAAAAGUUGGGGACCCAUUUCACAGACAAGCACUCUGAGGCCUGAGAUGGGGCGCCCCAGGCCACAGACCGACCGCCGCCGCAGACCCACCGCCGCCUCACCCUGCAGGCCUCCCUUCCACCUGGCCUUCUCUCUGAGGGAGGCCAAGUCGCUCCACCCUCUUGGUGCUCCUCGUGGUGGGCCUCUGGCCCUGGGAGGGCACUGAGUGGGGGCGUGGGCUUUAAUGACCCCCCAGCCUGGUUGUCUAGGGGAGCUCAUCCACCCAGCAGCCCAUAUCUGAGCUAGCGGCCUGAGGCAGGUGUCCGGGGAAGGGGGCAGAAGGCUUGAAUUUUAGAGGAGAAACGGCUUUGGAGGGGUGCUGGCUUGUCCCUGCGGCCCCUGGGGAAUGGGACGAGGUGACAGCAGGGGGCAGCGGGAAUGGAGCAUGGAGGUCGAGACCCCUGGGUUCCUGGUGGGAGGAAAGGGAGCCUUUCAGAGUCACUCUCCUUGGUGCCUCCUCUGUCCACUUCCUCAGUGGGCACCCAGGGGCCCUGGAGGUGGGUCCCUCCUCACCUGGCACAGCCUCGUGCAGCUGCACAGACUCAGGAGGCUGCCAGGGGCCCGACCGACCACCUGCCUUUGGCCAGCUGAGUGCCCAGGUGACCCCUUGCUGGCUGGGCGGCAGAGCCGACCUCUCCCCCGUCCCUGCCCAGCCCCCUGGCCACCUCACCCAGGCCAGGGCACGAACAAUUAAAGCCUCUUGUCCCCAAUUGGUUUGUGGUAUUAAAAACAAAUUGCGAUGGGCCAGGUUGUCAUUUCUCCCUGAUAAAACAUCACUUUUAUUGAUCUCGCUCCCCCAGUGCCAUCAUCCAUCUUGCUUCAGUGUUUCACAUCAUGGCUCGUUUGUCUUGAUCAAAGCACAGUCCCGCAUGUUUAACCCUUGGGGCUCUGCAGCCUCACGUGCCC
rnacentral:lncRNA from 1 species